UUUUAGCCCAGAUCGAAAUGAAAACCCCGCAGUGAAAAAAGGCUGUUGUUCCUGUGGUUGCUGAGCGACUGCAAGAAGCUCCUGCAAGCGCAUUGGAACAACUCCUUUUUGAGCGAGGAGUUGUAAUGGAGAGCUGGAUUGGCU
rnacentral:sRNA from 1 species